CCUACGGGUGGCAGCAGUGAGGAAUAUUGGUCAAUGGCCGGAAGGCUGAACCAGCCAAGCCGCGUGAGGGAGGAAGGCGCAGAGCGUCGCAGACCUCUUUUGCCGGGGGACAAAAGGCCGGACUCGUCCGGUCCUGAGGGUACCCGGAGAAAAAGCAUCGGCUAACUCCGUGCCAGCAGCCGCGGUAAUACGGAGGAUGCGAGCGUUAUCCGGAGUGACUGGGUGUAAAGAGUUGCGUAGGUGGCAUAAUAAGUAGCUAGUGAAAUCUGGUGGCUCAACCAUUCAGACUAUUAGCUAAACUGUUAAGCUCGAGACCGUUAGGGGUAACUGGAAUUUCUAGUGUAGGAGUGAAAUCCGUAGAUAUUAGAAGGAACACCAAUAGCGUAGGCAGGUUGCUGGGACGGUUCUGACACUAAGGCACGAAAGCGUAGGGAGCAAACGGGAUUAGAUACCCUAGUAGUC
rnacentral:rRNA from 1 species